GGAAGGCAGAAGCUCCAAGCUUGCCCAUUUUGGGCAGAGGGAUCCUCCUCGCAUCAUCACCACUGAAAGCCUGAGAUGCUACAAAACAGUUAGUGACCUGUCAAAGCUUUCAGGAAGGAGUUAAGAACUAUUUUUGGAUGUCACAGAGCCAGCAGGAGACUUGAAGACACUCACUUUCAUCAAGAGUUAUGGAAAUCAAAGGAGUUAAGAAAAUCCCUGACCAGGUGGACAGCCUGGAUGAUGACAAUCCUCACUGAUGAGAUGUAUCUCCUCCACAGUACUCCCGAGGGACAUAUAUCAAAUGGAAACAACUUCAUUAUUGCCACAUGACCAUGGACAGAGGCCAAACACAACAAAUAUAAUUUCUACAGCUCUAUGAAACCUGCAAGGUUAUGCAUCUUCCUGUUUGCAUCCCAAGUCAUUUACACCAGAGACCUGUCAGAAGAAUCUCCAUGUCCAGACUGGAGCAGAAAGGUUUUACUGAUAUCAUACGAGAAAGCUGCUGGCCAACUGGUAGCACAAGAGAAGAAUUACCUGGAUAUCACCUUUAUUCAAACACAGAUAAAGUGCAACCAAAGCAGGGAAGACAAACAAAAGAUUUAAGGCAUUUAUGGAGAAGAACUAGACAAGAAACCACAGCCUGGUUGUAAUGAAGAAGUCAAACUGGACAACUAUCAACAUUUAUGCUUUGUUCCUACAGUGAAAACAUGUAUACAUGCAUAUAGCCUGACUUUGCUGAGUAUGUCCUGCUUGAACCUGAGGUUGGCUUUAUGACACAGUGUGUAGACACCUGAGUUACUGUGGACACCUUGGACAUCUUAGCUGAAUGUUACCCCAGAAACAGCAGGAGACCAUUGUAUUUGUACUUUCCUGGUACAUGAACUACCCUAUAUAUCUUUAUAUUAAACUUUUGCAUGCCACUA